rnacentral:rRNA from 1 species
GAUGAACGCUGGCGGCGUGCCUAAUACAUGCAAGUCGAGCGAACGGACGAGAAGCUUGCUUCUCUGAUGUUAGCGGCGGACGGGUGAGUAACACGUGGAUAACCUACCUAUAAGACUGGAAUAACUUCGGGAAACCGGAGCUAAUACCGGAUGAUAUUUUGAACCGCAUGGUUCAAAAGUGAAAGACGGUCUUGCUGUCACUUAUAGAUGGAUCCGCGCUGCAUUAGCUAGUUGGUAAGGUAACGGCUUACCAAGGCAACGAUGCAUAGCCGACCUGAGAGGGUGAUCGGCCACACUGGAACUGAGACACGGUCCAGACUCCUACGGGAGGCAGCAGUAGGGAAUCUUCCGCAAUGGGCGAAAGCCUGACGGAGCAACGCCGCGUGAGUGAUGAAGGUCUUCGGAUCGUAAAACUCUGUUAUUAGGGAAGAACAUAUGUGUAAGUAACUGUGCACAUCUUGACGGUACCUAAUCAGAAAGCCACGGCUAACUACGUG